rnacentral:rRNA from 1 species
GGACUACCAGGGUUUCUAAUCCUGUUUGCUACCCACGCUUUCGCCUCUCAGCGUCAGUACUGGCCCAGAGUGCCGCCUUCGCCACCGGUGUUCCUCCUGAUAUCUAUGCAUUUCACCGCUACACCAGGAAUUCCGCACUCCCCUACCAGACUCAAGCCAUAACAGUAUCGGGUGGCGUCUCCGGGUUGAGCCCGGAGUUUUCACACCCGACUUAUCAAGCCGCCUACAGGCCCUUUACGCCCAAUAAAUCCGGACAACGCUCGGACCCUACGUGUUACCGCGGCUGCUGGCAC